AUCGAACGCUGGCGGCAGGCCUAACACAUGCAAGUCGAGCGAGCGGCGGACGGGUGAGUACUGUAUGGGGACUGCCCGAUAGAGGGGGAUAACUACUGGAAACGGUAGCUAAUACCGCAUACUAUCGGAUAACCCAUAUGGGAUUAGCUAGUAGGUGAGGUAAUGGCUAACCUAGGCGACGAUCCCUAGCUGGUCUGAGAGGAUGAUCAGCCACACUGGGACGGAGACACGGCCCAGACUCAUCGGGAGGACACAGUGGGGAAUAGUGCGCAAGGGGCGCAAGCCUGAUACAGCCAUGCCGCGUGUAUGAAGAAGGCCCUAGGGUUGUAAAGUACUUUCAGUCGGGAGGCGUUGCCGACAGAAGAAGCACCGGCUAACUCCGUGCCAGCAGCCGCGGUAAUAC
rnacentral:rRNA from 1 species